UCCCUUGUACCUCAGUUGGUAAAGAAUCUGCCUACAAUGCAGGAGACCUCAGGUUAGAUUCCUGAGUUGGGAA
rnacentral:tRNA from 1 species